ACAAAAGUUAUCUUAGAGAUAAAAGUACAAAAAAUUUAAUUACAGAGAGCUGAUACUUGGUGAGAAUCAGUAUUAAAGAUGUAUAAUGAUCCCUCUAAGGCUAUAAAGACGAAAUAUUAAAAGUAGUUUUUAUCGGUAAUCUUUUUUUAAAGAUGCGCCACCGUUAUAUGGCUCGGGCUAAAAGUAAAAUCUUUGGGCCUUAAAGGCACUUAAACUAAGUGUAAACAUGGGUGGUACCACGAUAAUCUCGUCCCUAGU
rnacentral:ncRNA from 1 species